CUGAAGUUGGUGCAUAAGACUGCAACACCGUCUAGUGGAGGGUGUUCUGGACAAAGAAAGCUUGUACCUUAAAACAGGAGGAUACAAGAAGCUGGAGUGGUUGUCUGAAGGCUUUUGAACUGCUUGAAGCAUUAGUGUAGCUUUGGUGCUUUUGUGACUAAUCAACUCUGGAGCAGCUAGAGUGAUGUAGUUGUGGGCUUUUGAACAAUAGCUGGAGUGAUAUGAAACAUUAGUGAUGUAGUUGUGGGCUUUUGAACUGCUUCAAGCUGGAGUGAUGUCGCUGUGGUGCUUUUGUGACUGAUCAUCUCUGGAGCUUUUGUGAAUGAUCUAGCUAGCUAUCUGUAAAUGAUCUAGUUGUGAAUGAUAUUAUAAUUGUGAUUCUUUUGUGAAUAUA